GAUGAACGCUGGCGGCGUGCCUAAUACAUGCAAGUCGAGCGAACGGACGAGAAGCUUGCUUCUCUGAUGUUAGCGGCGGACGGGUGAGUAACACGUGGAUAACCUACCUAUAAGACUGGGAUAACUUCGGGAAACCGGAGCUAAUACCGGAUAAUAUUUUGAACCGCAUGGUUCAAAAGUGAAAGACGGUCUUGCUGUCACUUAUAGAUGGAUCCGCGCUGCAUUAGCUAGUUGGUAAGGUAACGGCUUACCAAGGCAACGAUGCAUAGCCGACCUGAGAGGGUGAUCGGCCACACUGGAACUGAGACACGGUCCAGACUCCUACGGGAGGCAGCAGUAGGGAAUCUUCCGCAAUGGGCGAAAGCCUGACGGAGCAACGCCGCGUGAGUGAUGAAGGUCUUCGGAUCGUAAAACUCUGUUAUUAGGGAAGAACAUAUGUGUAAGUAACUGUGCACAUCUUGACGGUACCUAAUCAGAAAGCCACGGCUAACUACGUGCCAGCAGCCGCGGUAAUACGUAGGUGGCAAGCGUUAUCCGGAAUUAUUGGGCGUAAAGCGCGCGUAGGCGGUUUUUUAGUCUGAUGUGAAAGCCCACGGCUCAACCGUGGAGGGUCAUUGGAAACUGGAAAACUUGAGUGCAGAAGAGGAAAGUGGAAUUCCAUGUGUAGCGGUGAAAUGCGCAGAGAUAUGGAGGAACACCAGUGGCGAAGGCGACUUUCUGGUCUGUAACUGACGCUGAUGUGCGAAAGCGUGGGGAUCAAACAGGAUUAGAUACCCUGGUAGUCCACGCCGUAAACGAUGAGUGCUAAGUGUUAGGGGGUUUCCGCCCCUUAGUGCUGCAGCUAACGCAUUAAGCACUCCGCCUGGGGAGUACGACCGCAAGGUUGAAACUCAAAGGAAUUGACGGGGACCCGCACAAGCGGUGGAGCAUGUGGUUUAAUUCGAAGCAACGCGAAGAACCUUACCAAAUCUUGACAUCCUUUGACAACUCUAGAGAUAGAGCCUUCCCCUUCGGGGGACAAAGUGACAGGUGGUGCAUGGUUGUCGUCAGCUCGUGUCGUGAGAUGUUGGGUUAAGUCCCGCAACGAGCGCAACCCUUAAGCUUAGUUGCCAUCAUUAAGUUGGGCACUCUAAGUUGACUGCCGGUGACAAACCGGAGGAAGGUGGGGAUGACGUCAAAUCAUCAUGCCCCUUAUGAUUUGGGCUACGCACGUGCUACAAUGGACAAUACAAAGGGCAGCGAAACCGCGAGGUCAAGCAAAUCCCAUAAAGUUGUUCUCAGUUCGGAUUGUAGUCUGCAACUCGACUACAUGAAGCUGGAAUCGCUAGUAAUCGUAGAUCAGCAUGCUACGGUGAAUACGUUCCCGGGUCU
rnacentral:rRNA from 1 species